CAGCCGCCACGGUAAUACGGAGGGUGCAAGCGUUAAUCGGAAUUACUGGGCGUAAAGCGCACGCAGGCGGUCUGACAAGUCAGAUGUGAAAUCCCCGGGCUUAACCUGGGAACUGCAUUUGAAACUGUCAGGCUGGAGUCUUGUAGAGGGGGGUGGAAUUUCAGGUGUAGCGGUGAAAUGCGUAGAGAUCUGGAGGAAUACCGGUGGCGAAGGCGGCCCCCUGGACAAAGACUGACGCUCAGGUGCGAAAGCGUGGGGAGCAAACAGGAUUAGAUACCCCGGUAGUCCCUGUCUCUUAUAC
rnacentral:rRNA from 1 species